UGGGUCAUGUUAAUAUUCUGCAAAGCCUAAAUGGGAUCCACAUUGGAGGUGUGUAUUUGGGAGGAACAACUAAAGAGUGCUAAACUGUGUCUCAUGACACCCACAGCAACUGGAAACAGCAUUAUUGUUCUGCCAGCAGCAGUAGGUUUCAGUUGGGUGUUCUGUUGCUAGUAGCAACUGCUACCGGCACAGUUCCAUAGAAGCUUAACUGACAUUGUUACAGCCACCAUUUUGUCAGAUCUGUGACCAAGCAAAUACUGACAGGCAUCUUUUAUCUACUCCUUAACUGGCCUUGUUGGAGCAUUAUCUUUUCAAAACUGCUUCCAGUAAAAACCUCAAAGGCCAAUUGCCAUCUUCAGCUUUUACUGGAAGUGAAUCUACACACAUAAUGAGGGCAGAAGAAGAAUUAUGCUAGCACCAAAGAGCAUUUUUCAGUCUAUGAUCCAAUGAAUAAAACAGACAAAAUGUUAAGUGGUAACAUUUAUUUUGAGGAACAGUAUGCUGAAUGCAUUUCAACAGGACUCUACAGGUCCUGUAUUCAAACAUUUCUUAUACGAGAGAUGAAGUGACAGUGACUCCGCCUUUACGGGAAAGUGAAUCCAUGUGCAAACUGAACUGAGAUUGUAUUUUUACCAGACCAGCACCAAUUCUGAAAGUAGUCUGCACUUUUGAAGCAGUGAGGAGCAAAUCAUUCAGCGUUGAAAAAGAACAGAUUUGAUGCAGGGUUCAAUUUCAUGACGUUUCCGUCAUGGCAAAACAGAACUGCUUGCAUGAAAUAGUCUCAUUUAUGAUCAAAUGUAAAACAAAAAAAGAAAAUAAAUUAAUAUUAUACAAAAUAAUUUUGUAUCUCUAUACAUUAUCAAGAUUGUAUGGCCUCUCUUUGACACUAAUGUUUGGCAACAUUAAAAUAAAAGUUGUACAAAGGAGGGUGUGAAUAAAUCUAGUCAAAUAUCAUUCCUAAAUGCCUUGGCUGUUUACCAAGGCAUUGGUCUUUCUCACACCACAGUCCCUGAAUGACUUAUCUUUCCAACAAGUACAUUCACACCAAUCCCAGUAACCCCAUCACGUGAUCUACUGUCAUGAAUAUUAACUGCAGUGUUCUUCAUUAUUCCAUUCUGCAUGGACAAAUACACGUGACUCAAACUAAUUACGAAACCAUUCCCCACAACCAAUCUCAUGAAACUCUUUUCAACCUGCCUGACUUUCAUCGAAUGGCGUGCAAAGACACGUUUCCGUAUAUGAACUCAUCUGAAGAAAACGCAGAUCUAAACAUAAUUUUAGAAGAGAAAAAAUUCCUGACAAAAGAUGACCCCAGCCUGAAAAUAACAUAUUAACAUACAGAGCACACUGUCGGUCUCAGGGUUUCUCAUUCUUGUAGU